rnacentral:rRNA from 1 species
UAAUUGAAGAGUUUGAUCAUGGCUCAGAUUGAACGCUGGCGGCAGGCUUAACACAUGCAAGUCGAGCGGUAGCACAAG